GGUUAAAGUAAUGUUGGUUUGUUUUGUGUGCUGACUUGUAUCGAAAUUGGUGCUUUCUUUGGCAUGUAUGUUUUCUUUAAAAGAAAAAAGGCCAUUUUCAGAAGUUAGAGAACGAUGGUAACAUAGAGGAGAUCAAAAAUACCGAAUACCUGUAUUGAAACCGCUACUCGUUGGAUGCAAAAAAUGCUUUAAUACCUAGUAACCCUACUAAUUUAUAGACCGAUAACCUUCUGGACCAAACAGGUCAGCACCAGAAUGAGUCCGUUUCGUCCGAGGAUUCAUCUUGCAAUCUGGACAGAAUCGAAAAACUAUCAGCCAUGCCACCCGUUUAACUACAUCAACUAAACCUUCGAUUUUGUUUGUUUUUAUUAUGUUCUAUACCGACCAAUCCACAGAAUUAGUCU